GAAAUAAAGGAAAUAAAGAGAGAGAAACAGAAUGUGGAACGAAAAGCAGGGGAAGGAAAGAAAAAAAAGAAGAAAAGAAACGAAAAAGGAGAAAUAGGGAUUUUAAAGUUUGGAAGUUUAAUAGGUUAAGGCUAGACCGUUGAAUUAGCAUCCCAGGCCGAUCUCAAAUUCAAUGAGGUGAAGUAUGUUGAGUAUUAGUAAUGGCAUGUACCUAGGAUGUCUUAUGAGAGUCAUUUAGGUUGUGAAAGUAUUGAUAAAAUAAAUAAAUUAUGGUUGGCAA